rnacentral:rRNA from 1 species
GAGUAAUGCGUUGAUAACCUACCUUUAAGAUGAGGAUAACAACGUUUCGAGCAAUCGAAACUACCGAAAGGGUUGCUAAUACUCAAUAAUACUAUUGAUACUUCAGUAUUGAUAGUCAAAUGUCUGGAGUCGAAAGGCUCCAUUUGCUUAGAGAGGGGUCAAUGUCCUAUCAGCUAGUUGGUAGGGUAACGGCCUACCAAGGCGAAGACGGGUAGCCGGCCUGAGAGGGUGGUCGGCCACAUUGGGACUGAGACACUGCCCAGACUCCUACGGGAGGCUGCAGUCGAGAAUCUUUCGCAAUGCCCGAAAGGGUGACGAAGCGACGCCGCGUGUGGGAAGAAGGCCUUCGGGUUGUAAACCACUGUCGGGAGUUAAGAAAUGUAAGGAUGUUAAUAGCGUCCUUGCUUGACUAAGGCUCCGGAGGAAGCCACGGCUAACUCUGUGCCAGCAGCCGCGGUAAUACAGAGGCGGCAAGCGUUGUUCGGAAUUAUUGGGCGUAAAGAGCACGUAGGCGGCCUUGAAAGUCAGUUGUGAAAGCCUUCCGCUUAACGGAAGAACAGCAUCUGAUACUACAGGGCUUGAGUGCGGGAGGGGAGAGUGGAACUUCUGGUGGAGCGGUGAAAUGCGUAGAUAUCAGAAGGAACGCCGGCGGCGAAAGCGGCUCUCUGGCCCGUAACUGACGCUGAGUGUGCGAAAGCUAGGGGAUCAAACGGGAUUAGAUACCCCGGUAGUCCUAGCCGUA